UACGAAGGGGCUAGCGUUGCUCGGAAUCACUGGGCGUAAAGGGUGCGUAGGCGGGUCUUUAAGUCAGGGGUGAAAUCCUGGAGCUCAACUCCAGAACUGCCUUUGAUACUGAAGAUCUUGAGUUCGGGAGAGGUGAGUGGAACUGCGAGUGUAGAGGUGAAAUUCGUAGAUAUUCGCAAGAACACCAGUGGCGAAGGCGGCUCACUGGCCCGAUACUGACGCUGAGGCACGAAAAGCGUGGGAGCAAACAGGG
rnacentral:rRNA from 1 species